rnacentral:ncRNA from 1 species
AAAUAAUUAGGUUCUUAAUUUAAGAUUAAAAGAGAAUCAGGUGAAAAUCCUGAGCGAACCGGUCACUGUAAUUGGGGAGCUGAUUCCGAUAUGCCACUGGGAAAUUCCCGGGAAGGCGGAAAAAGCGAAGAUCCAUAAGCCAGGAGAACUGCCUGAAUGUUUU